CUCAAGGAAAGAAUAUCUUAUUCCACCGUCAACACCCAAAGCUGAAAUUCUAACUUAAACUAUUCCUUG
rnacentral:tRNA from 1 species